rfam:Folsomia candida strain VT population Fcan01_Sc022, whole genome shotgun sequence.
AUCUCUGCUCGGCCUUUUGGCUAAGAUCAAGUGUAGUAUCUCUUCUUAUCAGCUUAAAUCUUAAUAUCAAGAAUUUCUCUACUUUCGGAAAUUUCUCAAAUUUUCUAUCAAAUUUU